rnacentral:lncRNA from 1 species
CGCCUUAAUCAGGCGAGAGGAAGAUGCCACAGUCAGAAAAGUUUUUGACCGAAGAGGGCCGAUAGGACAACGAGCGAGACGUAGUUACCAAGACAGCUUAGAGAACGAUUUAAAAUCUAUUGGAAUUAGAUCAUGGAAAAGAGUUGCCAGAGACAGGGCCGAAUGGAGGAUUGUUGUGAAGAAGGUUUAGCUCAUAAAGAGCUGUAACGUCACUGAUGUUGACUUAAAACUAGCUCUGUAUACAGAAAA